rnacentral:rRNA from 1 species
AUUGAACGCUGGCGGCAUGCCUUACACAUGCAAGUCGAACGGUAACGCGGGGCAACCUGGCGACGAGUGGCGAACGGGUGAGUAAAGCAUCGGAACGUGCCCAGUAGUGGGGGAUAGCCCGGCGAAAGCCGGAUUAAUACCGCAUACGACCUAAGGGCGAAAGGGGGGGAUCGCAAGACCUCUCGCUAUUGGAGCGGCCGAUGUCAGAUUAGACAGUUGGGGGGGUAAAAGCUCACCAAGGCGACGAUCUGUAGCUGGUCUGAGAGGACCACCAGCCGCACUGGGACUGAGACACUGCCCAGACUCCUACGUGAGGCAGCAGUGGGGAAUUUUGGACAAUGGACGAAAGUCUGAUCCAGCCAUGCCGCGUGCGGGAAGAAGGCCUUCGGGUUGUAAACCGCUUUUGUCAGGGAAGAAAUCCUUUGAGCUAAUACCUCGGGGGGAUGACGGUACCUGAAGAAUAAGCACCGGCUAACUACGUGCCAGCCGCCGCGGUAA